rnacentral:rRNA from 1 species
AGCGUACACGGUGGAUGCCCUGGCAGUCAGAGGCGAUGAAGGACGUGCUAAUCUGCGAUAAGCGUCGGUAAGGUGAUAUGAACCGUUAUAACCGGCGAUUUCCGAAUGGGGAAACCCAGUGUGAUUCGUCACACUAUCAUUAACUGAAUCCAUAGGUUAAUGAGGCGAACCGGGGGAACUGAAACAUCUAAGUACCCCGAGGAAAAGAAAUCAACCGAGAUUCCCCCAGUAGCGGCGAGCGAACGGGGAGCAGCCCAGAGCCUGAAUCAGUGUGUGUGUUAGUGGAAGCGUCUGGAAAGGCGCGCGAUACAGGGUGACAGCCCCGUACACAAAAAUGCACAUGCUGUGAGCUCGAUGAGUAGGGCGGGACACGUGGUAUCCUGUCUGAAUAUGGGGGGACCAUCCUCCAAGGCUAAAUACUCCUGACUGACCGAUAGUGAACCAGUACCGUGAGGGAAAGGCGAAAAGAACCCCGGCGAGGGGAGUGAAAAAGAACCUGAAACCGUGUACGUACAAGCAGUGGGAGCACAGAGCAAUCUGUGUGACUGCGUACCUUUUGUAUAAUGGGUCAGCGACUUAUAUUCUGUAGCAAGGUUAACCGAAUAGGGGAGCCGAAGGGAAACCGAGUCUUAACUGGGCGUUAAGUUGCAGGGUAUAGACCCGAAACCCGGUGAUCUAGCCAUGGGCAGGUUGAAGGUUGGGUAACACUAACUGGAGGACCGAACCGACUAAUGUUGAAAAAUUAGCGGAUGACUUGUGGCUGGGGGUGAAAGGCCAAUCAAACCGGGAGAUAGCUGGUUCUCCCCGAAAGCUAUUUAGGUAGCGCCUCGUGAAUUCAUCUCCGGGGGUAGAGCACUGUUUCGGCAAGGGGGUCAUCCCGACUUACCAACCCGAUGCAAACUGCGAAUACCGGAGAAUGUUAUCACGGGAGACACACGGCGGGUGCUAACGUCCGUCGUGAAGAGGGAAACAACCCAGACCGCCAGCUAAGGUCCCAAAGUCAUGGUUAAGUGGGAAACGAUGUGGGAAGGCCCAGACAGCCAGGAUGUUGGCUUAGAAGCAGCCAUCAUUUAAAGAAAGCGUAAUAGCUCACUGGUCGAGUCGGCCUGCGCGGAAGAUGUAACGGGGCUAAACCAUGCACCGAAGCUGCGGCAGCGACGCUUAUGCGUUGUUGGGUAGGGGAGCGUUCUGUAAGCCUGUGAAGGUGUGCUGUGAGGUAUGCUGGAGGUAUCAGAAGUGCGAAUGCUGACAUAAGUAACGAUAAAGCGGGUGAAAAGCCCGCUCGCCGGAAGACCAAGGGUUCCUGUCCAACGUUAAUCGGGGCAGGGUGAGUCGACCCCUAAGGCGAGGCCGAAAGGCGUAGUCGAUGGGAAACAGGUUAAUAUUCCUGUACUUGGUGUUACUGCGAAGGGGGGACGGAGAAGGCUAUGUUGGCCGGGCGACGGUUGUCCCGGUUUAAGCGUGUAGGCUGGUUUUCCAGGCAAAUCCGGAAAAUCAAGGCUGAGGCGUGAUGACGAGGCACUACGGUGCUGAAGCAACAAAUGCCCUGCUUCCAGGAAAAGCCUCUAAGCAUCAGGUAACAUCAAAUCGUACCCCAAACCGACACAGGUGGUCAGGUAGAGAAUACCAAGGCGCUUGAGAGAACUCGGGUGAAGGAACUAGGCAAAAUGGUGCCGUAACUUCGGGAGAAGGCACGCUGAUAUGUAGGUGAAGCGACUUGCUCGUGGAGCUGAAAUCAGUCGAAGAUACCAGCUGGCUGCAACUGUUUAUUAAAAACACAGCACUGUGCAAACACGAAAGUGGACGUAUACGGUGUGACGCCUGCCCGGUGCCGGAAGGUUAAUUGAUGGGGUUAGCGCAAGCGAAGCUCUUGAUCGAAGCCCCGGUAAACGGCGGCCGUAACUAUAACGGUCCUAAGGUAGCGAAAUUCCUUGUCGGGUAAGUUCCGACCUGCACGAAUGGCGUAAUGAUGGCCAGGCUGUCUCCACCCGAGACUCAGUGAAAUUGAACUCGCUGUGAAGAUGCAGUGUACCCGCGGCAAGACGGAAAGACCCCGUGAACCUUUACUAUAGCUUGACACUGAACAUUGAGCCUUGAUGUGUAGGAUAGGUGGGAGGCUUAGAAGUGUGGACGCCAGUCUGCAUGGAGCCGACCUUGAAAUACCACCCUUUAAUGUUUGAUGUUCUAACGUUGACCCGUAAUCCGGGUUGCGGACAGUGUCUGGUGGGUAGUUUGACUGGGGCGGUCUCCUCCUAAAGAGUAACGGAGGAGCACGAAGGUUGGCUAAUCCUGGUCGGACAUCAGGAGGUUAGUGCAAUGGCAUAAGCCAGCUUGACUGCGAGCGUGACGGCGCGAGCAGGUGCGAAAGCAGGUCAUAGUGAUCCGGUGGUUCUGAAUGGAAGGGCCAUCGCUCAACGGAUAAAAGGUACUCCGGGGAUAACAGGCUGAUACCGCCCAAGAGUUCAUAUCGACGGCGGUGUUUGGCACCUCGAUGUCGGCUCAUCACAUCCUGGGGCUGAAGUAGGUCCCAAGGGUAUGGCUGUUCGCCAUUUAAAGUGGUACGCGAGCUGGGUUUAGAACGUCGUGAGACAGUUCGGUCCCUAUCUGCCGUGGGCGCUGGAGAACUGAGGGGGGCUGCUCCUAGUACGAGAGGACCGGAGUGGACGCAUCACUGGUGUUCGGGUUGUCAUGCCAAUGGCACUGCCCGGUAGCUAAAUGCGGAAGAGAUAAGUGCUGAAAGCAUCUAAGCACGAAACUUGCCCCGAGAUGAGUUCU